CAGUAGCCACGGGAAUACGAAGGGUGCAAGCGUUAAUCGGAUUUACUGGGCGUAAAGCGUGCGUAGGCGGCUUUUUAAGUCGGAUGUGAAAUCCCUGAGCUUAACUUAGGAAUUGCAUUCGAUACUGGGAAGCUAGAGUAUGGGAGAGGAUGGUAGAAUUCCAGGUGUAGCGGUGAAAUGCGUAGAGAUCUGGAGGAAUACCGAUGGCGAAGGCAGCCAUCUGGCCUAAUACUGACGCUUAGGUACGAAAGCAUGGGGAGCAAACAGGAUUAGAUACCCCCGUAGUCCCUGUCUCUUAUAC
rnacentral:rRNA from 1 species